rnacentral:lncRNA from 1 species
GCCAGGCAACCACCUAGCCUUACUCUCUCUGCUAACUUUGGAAGUUCCUGUUUCCAUCGUGGGUUGCUACCUCCUUUCCUGCCUUGAAGCUUGGUUAAUCUUCCAUUAAACAGCUAACAACAGCUUCAGCACCGGGGACAGUGUAUUUUAAUGAAGUGGUAAUGGGAUGGAGAGUCAGACGGUCUUGAUUAAAAUGGAGUACUCUGAUUAAAGAUUACAGUUGGUUCCCGUUUCUUCAUGCAAUUCUGAUUUUCCUUCUGGUUAGGAAGCUUCUUCCCAGUCAUAGAUGACUGCAG